UUUAUAAUCAUCAAAUUAAUGUAAAAGAAUACUUAAAAUAUUUAAAGGUUAAAUGUUCUGGUUAAUGGCAAUGAGUCAAUUAAGUAUAUAAACAGGGGCCGCGGUUUAAAUACAGCCCCGGAUUGCCGCGGAGGAGAAGGAUAACCGGUGUCUAUUUUUAGCAGCACAAUAACUUCUUUAUGAUUGCUCCUCAAAGUCAUUGACUACCCGUCGUCGACCGCAAAGGUUGUGCUUCUCUCCUUUACUCUUCGCGUUUAUGCGUGUGUGUAAGUACGAGGAAACACACUGGCGCCAAAAUACUUCUCUACACUUCUUCUCUUUGCGUGUAUUGGGUAGAGAGUCGUUGUCGUCUUUAUAUUUUCACACCUGCGUGCCAAUUGCUACGACGGCUCGUGUGUAUUCAUCAUCCUUUUACUUUAAAAGACGAUUUAUUUUUUUAGUGCUGUUAAAGGCAAGGUGACUCGGACAAUUCCUUGGCAGAAAGUUCCAGUUUAUAUUUGAAAAUAUCAAAAAUGUUUCAGCAAAACUAUAGUUUAGACACUUGGAGGAAAAAAGACUUAUAACAAAAUUAUUUCUGGGAUAUGAUUACAAUCAAGGUUCUAGAGAACCAAAAUCACUUACCAGCUUGGAUAUUAAUAAAGAAGACUGCAUAAUUAUUGUUGUAUAAUAGUUCAUAAUUAAGUUAUUUUGGCAUGGAUGAUUGGUCACUCAAUGUUACGUUAUGAACAACAUUUGAGAAUGAAUGGAAGAAAAAGUUUUAAAUGGUAGAGAAAUAACCAAGGCGCAGCGAUUAGAUUGAUUUUACCCUAAAAUCUGUCUUUUAAAAUCAAGUACAGUGAUAAUGGCUUCAUAUCAGCAAGAUGGAAAGAUUUGUAUCUCAACCAUCUUUAAUAUUACUAUUAUUGGUUAACAAUAACAAAAAUAGAAAAGAAACGGAUGGCAGAAGUAAAGAGGAAUUUCAGCCUUAAUCUAAACUCUGAACUUCUGCAAAAAAGAACGAAGAUGGUUAUUGGUUAUUAUUUCAUGAAAACAUAUCUUUGCAAGAGCGUAUUUAAAGGCUACAUGCUGAUUGUAGACAAAAGUCUGUUGGCAGCUAUAAACGGAUGGAAACAAAUAGAAAAAGUUAACAAAGCAGGAAUCAUUGUGUGUACAGUAAGCUGCUACCGCUACUUGUCCCAGAAGUUCGUAGCAACCGUCUGAUGCUGCAAUCCCACAGGUGUUCUCGUUCUUUGCGAAUGUGUAUAGAAGGGAAGCCUUCACCUUCAGCUCCGUCGAUAGUAAAAGAACAGUAGGAGUGUAAGUAGCAGUGAUGAUCGGAAGACGAAAAACCACCAAUUGACCAGAUUUGUAAUCACUUUUUGCUUGCGCGAAAGACACUCUGCGCGUGGAUUUGAACUCAACGGCUUCGACGUUUGUGAAUUUUCGCGAAAGCGCGAUGCGAAGAACUGAACAACGGCAGGUUCGGUCGAGUUGGGUACCAGCAAGGAGGAGGAACCUGCGUGGGUCCGUACGUUCGAGCGGAUACAGUGUGAUGGUUCCAACCAUAUUUCUGCUGCUGAUAUACUCUCAGAGUUAGUGCCCCGACCACCUCUACCACCAAUAAAAACGAGGAAUCGAAUUGUUCGGUGGACUAAGGCAACGAAAGUAGGGGGCUUUCGGUUCAUGUACUUAUUUUUGAUUUACCUUAAUUUGUGCAAUUAUAUGAUUAACACCUUGUAAUAUUUAUAGUAAUAAAAAGAUUUUUUGAUUAAAAAAUUGUGGUUCGUGGUACACUUUGAGCUUUAAAAAGU
rnacentral:lncRNA from 1 species